rnacentral:rRNA from 1 species
GUGGGGGAUAUUGCACAAUGGGGGAAACCCUGAUGCAGCAACGCCGCGUGUGGGAAGACGGUUUUCGGAUUGUAAACCACUGUCCUAUGGGAAGAUAAUGACGGUACCAUAGGAGGAAGCUCCGGCUAACUACGUGCCAGCAGCCGCGGUAAUACGUAGGGAGCAAGCGUUGUCCGGAAUUACUGGGUGUAAAGGGUGCGUAGGCGGGCUUGCAAGUCAGCCGUGAAAUCCCGGGGCUUAACCCCGCGGACUGCGGUAGAAACUGUGAGUCUUGAGUGAAGUAGAGGUAGGCGGAAUUCCCGGUGUAGCGGUGAAAUGCGUAGAGAUCGGGAGGAACACCAGUGGCGAAGGCGGCCUACUGGGCUUUAACUGACGCUGAGGCACGAAAGUGUGGGUAGCAAACAGGA